UGGGGUGUACCAGCUGGCCUCAUUCAUGAUGUCCCCUGCCCCCCAUGCCCCUGAUGCCACCGUGGUGUCCCCACAGGAGACGGUGGCAGUGAACCAGCCAGCGUCCUUUGCCGUGCAGCUGAACGGGGCGCGUGGCGUCAUCGAUGCCAAAGUGCACACGCCUGCAGGGGUGGUGGAGGAGUGUUAUGUGUCCGAGCUGGACAGCGGUGAGGGCACAUGGGGACACCGCGGGGACACCGUGGGGACACUGGGACACCGGGUCUGCGAAUGUGGGGUUGUGGGCACAGGACACAGGGACAUCUGAUGUGGGGACACGGGGAUUGAGCACAUGGGGACAUAGGACAUGGGGGCAGAGUGACACAGGACAUCCCCCAGACUAGUACACACUGGGGUUCUUGUGUGGGGUGUGGGGACAUGGGGGUGUGGGGACAUGGGGACACAGGACACAGGGAUAUGGGGACAUGUCUGUGUCCCCCUGAUAUGCACUGGGGUUCCUGCUGGGCUGGAACAGAGCUGUGGGGACAUGGGGACACGGUGACAUGUCUGUGUCCCCCCAGACCGGUACGCGCUGGGGUUCCUGCCACGUGAGAACGGAGUCCACUCCAUCGACCUGCGCUUCAAUGGGCGCCACGUGCCCGGGAGCCCCUUCAACAUCCGCGUGGGCGAGCAGAGCCAGGCCGGGGACCCUGGGCUCGUCACUGCCUUUGGGCCGGGCCUCGAGGGUGGCCGCACAGGGGUGCCCUCUGAGUUCCUGGUGCAGACAGCCAAUGCAGGGGCAGGAGCACUGGCUGUCACCAUUGAUGGACCCUCCAAAGUGGAGCUGGACUGUACUGAGGUCCCCGAGGGCCACCGCGUCACCUACACCCCAAUGGCCCCUGGCAACUACCUCAUCUCCAUCAAGUAUGGGGGCCCCCAUCACAUCGUGGGGAGCCCCUUCAAAGCCAAGGUCACUGGCCCACGGCUGUCAGGCGGGCACAGUCUGCACGAGACCUCGACAGUGCUGGUGGAGCCGGUGGUGAGGGCAGGGUCGCGGGGCCCCCCUGCCUUUGGGGGUGUCACCAAAGCCCCAUCGGAUGCUGGGCAGGUGGUGGCCCGGGGGCCAGGGCUGGCAACCGCCCGCCUGGGCCACAAGAACCACUUCACUGUGGACUGCAGCAAGGCCGGUGAGGGGCCCUGGGGGUCGUGGGGGCUUGGGG
rnacentral:lncRNA from 1 species